UUGGCACCACUGUAACUUUUGAACCUCUUCUUUCUUCUCUUUGGCUGUCAUUAAACCCUCGUCAAGUGUCCUUUUGAUCUGAGAAUUGAGGAGGGAGAGUGCAGACUGGGGGAAACGUACCUGUGUUUCAAUUCAUCAAGUUUCAACAAAAUUCUAGCGUGGUGGCUGCCCCUAGUGACUGCUUUAACUUCACUCCUCUUAGCUGUUCAUGGGUGGUUGGCUGUGAUUGAAGUUCAUGACCCACGUGUUGGCAAGACGCUUAUGAACAACAAGCCCCAAAACCACUCAAUUCUUGAAGUAUUGAUGCCCAAUUUGCUAUGGGUUGUUGGUGGCAUGAGAGGUAUUAGACUCUGAAGUUGGCACCUUGAUAGGCCAAAGUGGUGAUAAAGAGCAGUGGGUUUGUGCAGACUUCAAAAAGCUAUGUGCUUUGGAUGCGUGCGAAUUGAAUUUGCAAUCUUUUGGAGAGUUUCAUGUGUAGUCUGAUUGUCAUCGUUCUUGUUGGGAAUUUGUGAAGAUGGAGUUGGUGCUUUACUUUUCUUAAUUUCUUAUGCGGGAGAAUUCCCUUGUUUGCACUAAAAUGGUAAACUAUAAGUAAUUGAGGAUUUGAAAUAGAUUACUUGCUGUAGACUUGAAUGUGGCUGUCCAUUGUAAUUCUUCAAUAUAACAUUUUGGGGACAGCAUAGAUAGAUAUUUCAUAUCAGAACAAAGGGCUUCUCUGUGAAUUUGAAAGGCUUCUAGUUUUUCCCCUUCAAUACUUCAAGAUGCAAAGAGUUCGUAUGUCAUCUGAACAAGCACCUGUACAUAAGCUAGG
rnacentral:misc_RNA from 1 species